GACGAACGCUGGCGGCGUGCCUAAUACAUGCCAGUAGAACGCUGAAGGAGGAGCUUGCUUCUCCGGAUGAGUUGCGAACGGGUGAGUAACGCGUAGGUAACCUGCCUGGUAGCGGGGGAUAACUAUUGGAAACGAUAGCUAAUACCGCAUAAGAGUAGAUGUCGCAUGACAUUUGCUUAAAAGGUGCAACUGCACCACUACCAGAUGGACCUGCGUUGUAUUAGCUAGUUGGUGAGGUAACGGCUCACCAAGGCAACGAUACAUAGCCGACCUGAGAGGGGGAUCGGCCACACUGGGACUGAGACACGGCCCAGACUCCUACGGGAGGCAGCAGUAGGGAAUCUUCGGCAAUGGACGGAAGUCUGACCGAGCAACGCCGCGUGAGUGAAGAAGGUUUUCGGAUCGUAAAGCUCUGUUGUAAGAGAAGAACGAGUGUGAGAGUGGAAAGUUCACACUGUGACGGUAUCUUACCAGAAAGGGACGGCUAACUACGUG
rnacentral:rRNA from 1 species